rnacentral:miRNA from 1 species
UGUGAGCCUCUGUGUGAGUGCUAGGAAUUGAACCCAGGUCCCCUGGAAGAGGAACAAGUGCUCUUAAC